rnacentral:lncRNA from 1 species
CGCCACCUCACUUAUCUGUGCCUAUUUGAAUUCAUGAGAAACAACUUCUCAUGAAUUUUCUCCCAUAUAGAAGCCUUCCCAUGCCCUCCCUUGUGUGCCAUUUAUCUGGAUAAAGAUUGGUUUGUUGGCCAUUCAAAUUCAAAGGAUGUUUGAAUUUGAAUGGGCAACUAAUCCAUGCGCCACCCUCCUUAUCUUAUGCACCAUUUAAUCUACACGAGAAAGAGUUUCUCAUGUAAAUUCUCCAUGCACAAAGAACCCACGCCUCCUCUCUUCUCUUGCCUAGAGUGGAUAAGGAUGGGUUGAUUUGCAUUUGAAUUCAAAUUGUUUUGAAUUCAAG